UCGGGGUGUAGCGCAGUCCGGUUAGCGCACCUGGUUUGGGACCAGGGGGUCGAAGGUUCGAAUCCUUUCACACCGAC
rnacentral:tRNA from 1 species